GACGAACGCUGGCGGCGUGCUUAACACAUGCAAGUCGAACGGAAAGGCCCUGCUUUUGUGGGGUGCUCGAGUGGCGAACGGGUGAGUAACACGUGAGUAACCUGCCCUUGACUUUGGGAUAACUUCAGGAAACUGGGGCUAAUACCGGAUAGGAGCUCCUGCUGCAUGGUGGGGGGUGGAAAGUUUCGGCGGUUGGGGAUGGACUCGCGGCUUAUCAGCUUGUUUGUGGGGUAGUGGCUUACCAAGGCUUUGACGGGUAGCCGGCCUGAGAGGGUGACCGGCCACAUUGGGACUGCGAUACGGCCCAGACUCCUACGGGAGGCAGCAGUGGGGAAUAUUGCACAAUGGGCGGAAGCCUGAUGCGACAACGCCGCGUGCGGGAUGACGGCCUUCGGGUUGUAAACCGCUUUCGCCUGUGACGAAGCGUGAGUGACGGUAAUGGGUAAAGAAGCACCGGCUAACUACGUG
rnacentral:rRNA from 1 species